rnacentral:piRNA from 1 species
UGACUUGUUAACGGGUCAGGGAGCUUAUUCUG